UGGGGAAUCUUGCACAAUGGGGGAAACCCUGAUGCAGCGACGCCGCGUGAGCGAUGAAGGUUUUCGAAUCGUAAAGCUCUGUCCUAUGGGAAGAUAAUGACGGUACCAUGGGAGGAAGCCCCGGCUAACUACGUGCCAGCAGCCGCGGUAAUACGUAGGGGGCGAGCGUUGUCCGGAAUUACUGGGCGUAAAGGGUUCGCAGGCGGCAUGGCAAGUCCGAUGUAAAAGGCGAAGGCUCAACCUUCGUAAGCAUCGGAAACUGCCAAGCUUGAGUGAAGGAGAGGCAAGUGGAAUUCCUAGUGUAGCGGUGGAAUGCGUAGAUAUUAGGAGGAAUACCGGUGGCGAAGGCGACUUGCUGGACUUCAACUGACGCUGAGGAACGAAAGCGUGGGUAGCAAACAGG
rnacentral:rRNA from 1 species